GAAAUCUAUACAUAAAAAAAAUUUAUGACGAUAAUUUAUGAAAGCUUUAAAUGCGACAAUUUUUUUGUGUGUUUAAAGCCUUAUUAAAAAGAAUAAUAACACAUUGUAGCACUAGAGAAAAUUUUGACGAAGAGUUAAACUGGAUUAUUAACCGGGCAGAGAUUCGUGGAUAUAAACGAAGCACCAUAAUAAAAAUAUGGAAGGAGAUUCAGAAAAAAAUCAAGAUAACAAUAAAGGAACAUAAGGAAAGCACUCAAGAACUAAAUGAGAUCCUGUCUCGUAUAAAAAUAAAGUUCAACACUAAUGCAGUUGUGGUUGAAACAU
rnacentral:lncRNA from 1 species